AGUUAUACCUUAUAGGAGAAAUACCAUGUCAUGAAAAUGAUUUUCUCAGGGAGAGGCUUAUCCAUUGUAUUUUGGUUGUGUUGUUGACCCCUAUGAUUUUCCCAAAUGUGGGAAACUCAACUAUAUAAUUUGUGUUAAUAGAGGCAUUAUGUUUGUGGUUUCUGC
rnacentral:snRNA from 1 species